rnacentral:tRNA from 1 species
CGGUAGUAUCCAGCGCAGUUUCGGGAGCAGUUGACUUUUAAUCAAUUGGUCGCAGGUUCGAAUCCUGCACGACCCACCA